AUAACAAGGUAUUUACAAUCACUGUAUUUGUAAUACAUGAAACCAAAGGAUGCAAUUAGUAGAUUCCUCUGACAAAUAUAACCAUCGGUCUAUGAUGCAGAAUUUGAGCAUGUCAUUUUGCAUGUUUGAGGCAAUCACAAAUAAUUUAAGAGCAACGCAAAGACAGAUACAUUCUGGCAUUCAAGUAAACUACUACCAUAAUCUUAUAAGAGUAUUACAUACAAAAAACUACAUGAUGAGACUCCAAAAUGCAUCUACUUCAUAAAGCAAGAGAGAUCUUAUGUGCAUGUGCAUACAUGCACCAAAGCAGAGGUAAUAAGUAUUUUAGGCACACAAUGUAUUGUUCUAAUAACAACAAAAGUGAAUUCAACUAUUUUAUCAAUAUGUACAUAGUAGAAUUCCAGAAAAACAAUCACACUAACCAAUAUAAUUAAGACAUUGAUGAUUUAUCCUUACUUGGGUAUAAACAUACAAGAAUAAGUAUUUCUCACAAAGAAGCAAAAG
rnacentral:lncRNA from 1 species